UUGUGCAAGAUUCUCUCAAAAUUUUCCUUCCUCUCCAGAUUUCUCUUCGCCGCCCCCGGUCCUCGGACCUCUUCGGCUCUUUCCCCGUGCGAGCGAUGCCACCUGCUCCUCCCAUUGGCACGUGGCAACAGCGCCGCCCUGCAGCUCCCCGCCGGCAUGAGACCACUACGAGGAGGAUCCCCGCGCCCCCAUCUUCUCCUCACCUAACCCGCUCGCCGCGUCGUGCUUCUUCCCGAAACGGCAUCCAAGGGCUUCCACGUGGCAUGUGCUCUGGCGCCGCCGCCCCCUGUUCUUCCGCUAGCCGCUGUCGGCAUCCGCGGGCGCCGCGCCGGCGGGGAGCUUCACGACCGCGCUACCCCUGACUUCACCAGCACGCCGCUCCGCUCGCGGCCCAUUCCAUGCCCUCAGCGAGCGACGGUAGACCUCCUCCACCUCUCGCGCUGCUAGAGCAGCUGCUGGGAGGAGCGGUGCCGGCAGGGAGAUGCAGCUGGGUUGCCCCCGAUGCGCCCUUGCAGCGGUCUCUCCCCUUCCCGAUCUUCUUGGCCCGAGCCUGCCCAAUCCCUCAUAUGUAUCCGCUCUCCGAGAUCUUCGUGGCCGCCAGCCUCUCCCUAGCCCCGAUCCGCUUCCUACCAGAUCUCUUCCCUGCCUAACGACCUCUCCCUAGCCCCGAGCCACCACUAUUCGCCACUGCUUUUCACCACAAAGAAUUCCCCGCUGUAGCUGCAUCUUACCAUUUCUUGACCAGAAGGAGAGAAGAACAACUAGUGGAGGAUCCACCUCCGCCGCGUGCGUGAAUUCCCCAUCUUCACAUUCUCUUUCACAGGCCCUCUAUGAUGGAACAAAGAGCUCACAUCUGUGUGUUCCUUCUGUUUUUCAAUUGCAUCUCAUAUCCUCUAUAUACGUUUCUAGGUCAUCAUUAUCUAGAGGACCAUGUAAACUAGAAUCCUGAGAUUUCCACCACGUACUUGUGAUUACUUUCUACAAAUUGGUCUACAGGUCACUGGAGAAAAGUUGAAGUGAUUUGAGAAUAUUUUUCCCUCUCCCUACAGAUGUACCAACAGUCAGAUGUUUGAGCGCAUUAUAUAGUCAAGCAUGCAUGCAAUGGAGGUCAAGGAAUAUCUUUCUGUACCAUACAAAAGCCGGUCUCCGAUAUUCAUUUCUCAGAUAUGCAGAUACAUGUGAUUCCAGGUCUACAAGGAGAAGCAACAAGACUGUUAUAUGUGCAACCAAAUAUUAUGGAUCUUCUGAUACAUUCUGUGUUAUACAUUGGAAAAGAUUUUGCAUGACAAGGUUUAGAUCCUGGCCUCACCAGCCUUGCCUUUUGUUCUACAUCUUUCAUUCCAAAGUUGACUUGAGGUAGAGCUGAAAGAUUGUUGCACUAGCCAAUUAAACCAAAAGUCCGAACUGAUGGAAAGAGACUAGGCAAUGUAUUUAUAUUCAACACCCCCCCUCACGUCUAGGCUAUUUUAGUUCUUAGCGUGGGUUCGGUGUGGGCCGCAGAAUCUUUUUUCUUUUUGUUUUUAAAACUACGUGAGCAGGGUCUUGAACUUGAGACCUCUUCGCUCUGAUACCAUGAAAGAUUGCUGCACUAGCCAAUUGAACUAAAAGUCCGAACUGAUGGAAAGAGACUAGGCAAUGUAUUUAUAUUGGUGUUGUGUGGGUCUGCUUGCAAAGAUGGAGAAGCAAGGUAAUGUGAUGCAGCCCACUGUUUUCUUCCUAGGUUUCGUAAGAAAUUGUGAUAUUCUUCUCUAUAGUCACGAUGUCAUCUGGUGUACCAUGUGACGAAGAAGACAUGAUUAGCUAAAGUAGCAUUAUGUAUUUAUGUAAAGCUUGGUAUAUCAUCUAUUGUUCAAGUUAGCAAGUUUAUUACCCUCCUGUGCGCCCCCUGCCGUUGAUGUACAUUGUAUCAAAUUUCAUUAUGAAUAGAUUUUUACCUAAUUGUUUGGCCAUCAAAA